UGACAGCUAAGUCUGAUUGAUUUUUGAACAAGGCCAGUUUACUUCUAAUUUACUUGUUCUUUAUUUGAAUAGCUAGUUGGAAUUUCGCACUGAAAAUUAUCGUGCGACUAUUUUUUCCUAUCGGAUUGUGGAGCCACACAACGGAGAUAGAGGUUAGGUCCAGUAACAAGCUGCUCUUGACUCGGUUUAUAUCUUCCUUAAAGGAACUCCGUCCGGAUCUGCGUCGCCGUCAAUGAGGCAUGGAAUCGAAAAGGUCCUGCGACAAGUUCAUCUCCUUUGUCACGAUGGGAACGGAUUGGUUCUGCGGAGGAAAUUGAUCGAUUGGCUUCAUGAAGGAUGAGCAGGUUGUCAUCGCGCCGACGUCGCUCGUGCUAUUUCAAGCAGUCUUCUUCGUUCAACUCGGUCUUGGGCCGCUGGUCGCCAAUUCUCAGAAGUCGAAAGUCGCUUUUAAACUGGU